rnacentral:pre_miRNA from 1 species
AGCCCUUCCCUUUCACUGGCCUGUAGCCAGCCCAGGUCUGGUGGGAAGGAAGGGACAC